rnacentral:lncRNA from 1 species
GGAGGAUAGGGCUGGGCUCAGUGGGGUAAGUGCUGGCUUCCAGGGCAGGGAAGAGCUGGCUCAGACAAGCCCUCAUCCCUCUGCCUGGCAAAGAGAAAAUUAAAUUUAGACUAACACACUAUAUUCAGUUCAAUUUACAGUGUUUCGGUCACUUUUAGUUUAAAAGUCUCUCCCAGGUAUUAAGUCAAAUUUACAUCCUGUCAGUAUUUGAGAACUACUCACCAUUCAGAGUUUUCUCUCCAGGGUUCCCACAAACGCACACACACUUACUGAUUCCAGGUAUCUUGAGGUCUCACUCCAAGCAGAAAGGGUAGGUAGGUGGAGGGAGACUGUCUUUUUAUUGGUGCCUCUCCGAAUACCCUCCAUCUUAGAGACAAUUAAGCACAAGCCCAAACUCUCUGCAGUUUUCCCUGGACCAUAGCUGAUUUCUCAAGGACUGAUUAAACAGCAAAUGCAAUGUCUCUACAGACAAAUACAGGUCAUCUUCCCCUUCAAUGGCUGAAUUCUAUCUGCAGCCAGAGCUCCUGCAUGUCAGACCCCAACAAGGUUUUGUUUUACAUUGCAAACACAAGCAGGCUCAUAGAACCCUCUGCCCCGCCGACAGACUCCAGACCUCAGCUCUCCCUGCACAAACGCAAGGCUGUCCCUCCUGCCAAAAUCCCAGGACUUGAACCAAAUGUAAAAACAGUAGAAUUCAAUUCAGGUUCAGUUUGGGGAAUAUUUUUAUUUUCUGGUUG